rnacentral:rRNA from 1 species
GCCAGAGGGUGCCAGCGUUGUUCGGAAUUACUGGGCGUAAAGCGCGUGUAGGCGGCUUGAGCAAGUCGGGUGUGAAAGCCCCAGGCUCAACCUGGGAAGUGCAUUCGAUACUGCGGAGCUGGAGUCCCGGAGAGGGUGGUGGAACUCUCGGUGUAGAGGUGAAAUUCGUAGAGAUCGAGAAGAACACCGGUGGCGAAGGCGGCCACCUGGACGGAGACUGACGCUGAGACGCGAAAGCGUGGGGAGAAAACAGG